rnacentral:rRNA from 1 species
AGCAGUCGCCGCGGUAAUACGUAGGGAGCUAGCGUUGUUCGGAAUUACUGGGCGUAAAGCGCACGUAGGCGGUUAUUCAAGUCAGAGGUGAAAGCCCGGGGCUCAACCCCGGAACUGCCUUUGAAACUAGAUGACUAGAAUCUUGGAGAGGUCAGUGGAAUUCCGAGUGUAGAGGUGAAAUUCGUAGAUGUUCGGAAGAACACCAAUGGCGAAGGCGACUGACUGGACAAGUAUUGACGCUGAGGUGCGAAAGCGUGGGGAGCAAACAGGAUUAGAUACCCCCGUAGUCCCUGUCUCUUAUAC